GGAGAUGUGGCUCAGUGGUAGAGUUCUUGCCUUGCAUGCAUGAGACCCUGGAUUGGAUCUCCAGCACUCCA
rnacentral:tRNA from 1 species